rnacentral:rRNA from 1 species
GAUGAACGCUGGCGGCGUGCCUAAUACAUGCAAGUCGAGCGAACGGACGAGAAGCUUGCUUCUCUGAUGUUAGCGGCGGACGGGUGAGUAACACGUGGAUAACCUACCUAUAAGACUGGGAUAACUUCGGGAAACCGGAGCUAAUACCGGAUAAUAUUUUGAACCGCAUGGUUCAAAAGUGAAAGACGGUCUUGCUGUCACUUAUAGAUGGAUCCGCGCUGCAUUAGCUAGUUGGUAAGGUAACGGCUUACCAAGGCAACGAUGCAUAGCCGACCUGAGAGGGUGAUCGGCCACACUGGAACUGAGACACGGUCCAGACUCCUACGGGAGGCAGCAGUAGGGAAUCUUCCGCAAUGGGCGAAAGCCUGACGGAGCAACGCCGCGGGAGUGAUGAAGGUCUUCGGAUCGUAAAACUCUGUUAUUAGGGAAGAACAUAUGUGUAAGUAACUGUGCACAUCUUGACGGUACCUAAGCAGAAAGCCACGGCUAACUACGU